rnacentral:rRNA from 1 species
UACGAAGGGGGCUAGCGUUGUUCGGAAUCACUGGGCGUAAAGCGCACGUAGGCGGACUUCUAAGUCAGGGGUGAAAUCCCAGGGCUCAACCCUGGAACUGCCCUUGAUACUGGAAGUCUCGAGUCCGGGAGAGGUGAGUGGAACUCCGAGUGUAGAGGUGAAAUUCGUAGAUAUUCGGAAGAACACCAGUGGCGAAGGCGGCUCACUGGCCCGGUACUGACGCUGAGGUGCGAAAGCGUGGGGAGCAAACAGG